AGAAAUAUUUGAAAUUGACUCCUAAUAUAGACUUACCAGGAAAAAUUACUUCUCUUUGGGAACAAAAUGGCUCUGUAAAUUUUAUUUUUGAAAGCUUGAAUCAAAGAUGUGUUUUGGAUUUUUUCAAACUCAUUUCAGUUUAGUUCAGGAAACAAACUAUGGAUAAGAGUCAGUAAGACAUAGAUGUAUAAUAGUGCUGCCCUUAAGAAGAUUCAGGUAAGUGGGGAGUUCCCGUCGUGGCUCAGUGGUUAACAAAUCUGACUAGGAAUCAUGAGGUUGUGGGUUUGAUCCCUGGCCUUGCUCAGUGGGUUAGGGAUCUGGCGUUGCCCCACCGGCCUAUACCAGAGCCACAGCAAUACAGGAUCAGAGACGCAUCUGCCACCCACACCACAGCUCAUGGCAACGCGAGAUCCUUAACCCACUGAGCAGGGCCAGGGAUUGAAGCCACAACCUCACGGCUCCUAGUCGGGUCCGUUAACCACUGCCCCACAACGGGAACUCCAAUUGCUAUUAUUUGAAUGUCAGCAGUCUGUCUUCUAAUGUUCUUUUUUCUGUUCUAAGGUCCUAUUCAUAAUUUUAUCUCAUGAUUAAUUUAUUUCAUUUUGGUUUCCUGUAGACUGUAGAGUUCUUCGAUUUCCCCUUAUCUUUCAUGACCUUGAUACCAUUAAAGACCAUCGACCAGUUAAUUUUCAAAUGUUCCUUAAUCUGGGGUUAAAGUAAUUUAAACUAAUUUAAACACGUUUCCUCAGGCAUAGCUAAAAUACACAGUCCUUUUCCCUUUUCCCUAAUCUGGAUUUGUUCAGUGUUUUCUAAUCUCUAGGCUGAGGUUGUACAUUUUUUUUUGUCAAGAACAUCACAGAAAUGAUGCUGUGUCUUUCUCAGUGCAUCAUAUCACGAGGUUCACGAUUUUCAGAUGUCUUAUUCUUGGUGACAGUAAAUUCAACUACGUGGUUAAAGUAAUUUCUACUGAUUUUCCCGUUGUGAAGUUACUAACCUAUACUUUGUGGUUAAGUAACAUGGGGAAGCUCAUUUGGAACUAUACAAAUUAUGUUUCUCCUAGACUUUUGUCCAUGGAAUCUAGCACUCAUUAGCGGACCUUCUCUGCAGCAGUUACCAUUGUGGGUUUGCAUAAUAAUUUGUUUCCUCUUUGCUUCUAUAUUUAUUUUAUUUCAUCUCAUUUUUUAAUUUUUUUUUAUUUUUUUAAUAGUUAUUUCCCCAAUACAAUUUUUUUUCUACUGUACAGCAUGGUGACCCAGUUACACAUACAUGUACACAUUCUAUUUUCGCACAUUAUCAUGCUCCAUCAUAAGGGACUAGACAUAGUUCCCAGUGCUACACAGCAGGAUCUCAUUGCUAAUCCAUUCCAAAGGCAAUAGUUUGUAUCUAUUAACCCCAAGCUCCCCAACCACCCCACUCCCUCUUCCUCCCCCUUGGCAACCACAAGUCUAUUCUCCAAGUCCAUGAUUUUUUUUUUCAUUUCAUUUUUAUUUUGUUUCAUUUCAUUCAUUUCAUUUCAUUUGUCUUUUUAGAGCCACACCCAUGGCAUAUAGAAGUUCCCAAGCUAGGGGUUGAAUCUGAGCUGUAGCUGAUGGCCUACACCACAGACACAGCAACAUGGGAUCCUUAACUCACUGAGCAAGGAGGCCAGGGAUCAAACCUACAUCCUCAUGGAUACUAGUUGGGUUCAUUACUACUGAGCCAUGACAGAAACCCCCAACUUCUAUAUUUAUUAAUUGGAAUUUGACUGUAAGAAAGAAAUAUCUCUUCUUGCCCACUUAUUUAUUUAUUACCUGUAAUAAAUAUACUUAUUAUUUUAAACUUAGUCUAUGAGUUAACUUCUAACACCACUGCACUUUCUUUCGCUACUCAGAUUAUUCCAGUUUUGUCUGUUGGGGGCUCCUACAAAUCUGCUCUUAAACGCGCCUUCAUCUCGUUUGACUAUAUCCUCACUUUCUGGUGACAGUAGAUGUCCCAGACUUACAUUGUAUUGCCCCCACUUCAGCCAGGAGUCAAUCAUUUCUCCAAAGAAUCCUAGUUCCUUUAUUGGAAGAAUUGUACUCAGCAACCUGGAAUUUAGUGCUACUGCAGUGCCCAGGUUAUAGGCCCUCACAGCAGAGGAAAUACAUCCCUCUAUACUAACUAUAUUAGUUUCUGAGGGUUACUGCAACAAAUUACCCCAAAUCUGAUGGCUUAAAAUAGAGAUUUAUUUUCUCAUUGUUCUGAGAGCCAGAAGUCUGAAAUAUUGAAUCUGUUUUUUAUUCUUGGCAUAAAUGACAAUAGGUCAUAGUGUAUUAUUUUUAUUAAUGUGAUAUUCAGUGCAUUUGCUAAUAUUUUCUUUAGAAUUACUGAAUUAAUAUUUGAUUCCAUUUGCUAACAUAUCCUUUAAAAUGUUUGAUUAAUAUUCAAUAAUAUCAGUCUUCAGUUUUCUGUCUUUGUACUGACUUUAUCAGGUUUAGGUAUCAGAUUUAUUCUUACUUCAAAAAAAUAAAAAUAAUUGGGUAAUUUUCCUUUUUAUUCAGUGUUCUGGAAUAAUCUGUAGAGUAUUGAAAAUACCUGAGUUUCUUUUUUUUCUUUUUUUUAAGAAGUUAAUAGAAUUCCACCAUGAAAUCAUGUGAUCUUUUGUAUAGGGUGGUUUCUUAAUAUUUUGUCAUUUUACUUAUUUUCUGUGAAUUUUAUUUGUCUUACAUUGAGAGUGGUAUAUUACAAUCUUAGCAAGACAGACAAAAGGAAAAUUACUGAGGUACCUCACACACAAAGUUUAAUGAUGCAUCAAAAACAUAGAAAUCAAGACAAAUAAUAAAAAUAUGUAAUAUUUUAAAAGAUCAAAUUGGCAAACUUAAGCCCAUGGGACAGCCUUCUGUUUUUAGAAUAAGGUUUUAUUGGAAUCUGGGCCAGAAUUAUGGUGAUGUGAAUGAGGCAAGAUUAUAAAAGUGAAGGGUCAGAUCUUGUCUUUAACAUUUUAUAUUUAGUCAUCAGAGAUUUUUAAAAUUCAUUUUGAUUAUAUUAAUGUAGAUCUCAUAGAUAUUUACUGAACCCUACUACACACUCAGUUGCCUGUCUAGCUAGGUCUCCUAAUCUCUCUACACUUGAAAUUUUGCUUCAUAAAGGUGGUAACUAUUUUAUUCAAUUUUGAGUAUCUUUCUCUUUAAGACUCUUGUACUUUUAAAUCCCUUUUGUGCAGUUUUUGCUCUGAUCUCCCCAGUUACUUUUCCUCCCAGAUAUAGAGUGGAUUUACUUUUUUCUGGUGAUCACACCAGGGGAUAGUCGGGCCCCAUAGUUAGUGUUCCUGCUCCGAUUUUCUUGGAUUUUUUCCUUAAUCUGCACUGCUGACCAGACAGAAGACAAAGAUGUAGAACUUUUGUUCUUCUCUUUUUAUGGGUAAUUAUUUUGCUGUUUCUACUUUAUAUGUCUUCAAAUAAUUUUAAGAGUGAGUUUCAUUUUGAACUUUCAUAUAUGUGAAAUCAUUUCAUAUUGUUGGGAAGGAGAUUUGGGGAAGUUGUUUAGUAUAAGUCUACUAUGGUCUGAGGGUACCUGGGAAACUUCAAGUCAUUAUUAUUAAGAUAAGCGUAUUUCUAAUCCUUAUAAUGGGAUAUGUUCCCGGGUUAUAUACAGCCAACUAAUAAACAACUUCAAAAAAAUACCAAGAAUUGUUAACCUGAAACAGCUAAUGCUAGAUUAAAAAUAUAGCAAAUAUCCUGAUGUCUGAAUGUGGACAGUGCAGGUACUGUUACCCAGUAACAGAAUUAUGACAAGACACGCAGAUUGGUAUUUGAUUUUCUGGUUAAGGUGUGUAUUUUUUUGUUUUCUUUUUCUUUUCUUUUAAUGGUCAUACACUUGGCAUAUGGAAGGGAUUGAAUCUGAGUCUUAGCUGCAUAGCUACAGCAGUGCUGAAUCCUUUAACCACUGUUGCCAGGCUGAGGAUCAAACCUGCACCUCCACAGGGAUCCCAGCUGCUGCAGUUGGAUUCUUAACCUACUGCACCACAGUAGGAACUCCUAUGAAAUGUGUUUUGAAGUUGAACAUAUCUCUGUUCAAACAGCCAGAUGCAAGAUCCCAAAGAAGUUUCCUAACUCUCCCAAGUUUCAUUUUCUUCCUCAAUAAAAUCUCCAGGUUGUUUGGAGAAAUAAUUGUAUCAUGUAUUAAAAGUAUCCAGCAAGAAUGCGUGGCAUAGGGGUGUUCAAAAAUGUUCUAUGAUUUACCAUUUUCUUUUUCCCUCCCUGCUGUUUUUCUUGCUACAAUAAUACUCUGGAGUAUUACUUGUUCUCACAUUCCUGUGUUGGAAAUAUGGUCUUUUCCCCCUUAUGACACAAAUUUCUCAUCAUUCUCCCCUUUGCCAAAUAUUAAGCCACCAAUCUUACCACAUUCUUAGAUCCACAAUUCUCAAAGCACAGAAUGAACUUUAGUUCUCAUCGUGAGGUUUUUAUUGCAUAAAAAUUAUAUGCAGAUAUCCAGUCAUUAGUUCAAACUAUUACUAUUGAAACCGGUUAGGCACAAGUUGGGAUUUGUGCUAUUUAAAAUCCUGUCCAUUUCCUCCUGUCAUCUAAGUGCUUCAUUACUGGAUUAUCGAAGAAAUCCAGAAAUCUCUAUCACCGCAAUUCUGCACUGCUUCUGCUCUAAGCUUAUGCCCUUUCUUGGGCAAAUCAUUUUUUCCUUUUCUAGUUGUUCUUUGUAUUCUGUUCCAGUUAAGUCAACUCAAUUCUACUCAGUUCAACUCAAAUCAAUUCAAAUCAAUUAAGUUUUAGACAUUUCAGCUCCCACUUACAGAGCUGUGCACUGGACUCUGUACUUGUUACUGAGGAAAUAAAGUUGACAAAGGAGCUAAAAGCCUAUUAGACAAUCGACAGAUACACAAAGUAAUACUGUCAUACUAGUGAGGCACACCUGGUGCGAUAGGAUAACAGAAAGAGUACUGAAUUCUACCUGUGUUUUGGAGCUGAGUCAAAGAGGAAUUAAAUUUAGAGCUGGUCCUUGUAAUGUGAGUAAGAUUUUACCAAAAAUAAAGUGAUUGGUGGUGGAGAUAAGUAUUCCGAUAAGGGCAUUUACAGAGAUGACCUCGGGUUACAUAUCAAUCGGUGUUUUUCUAUUGUUGUUCUUGUUGUAGGUUUUGUUUCGUUUUUUUUUUGUUGUUGUUGUUGUUGUUUUUUUUCUUUUUUUCUGACAAAGCAAACGACUUUAUUGAAAAGGGCCACUGGAGUGGAGAGCAACAGGGUAGGGGAACCCCUCCGUAACUGCUCUCCAAUCAGUGCUUUUUAAAUGGAUCUUUGAAGGCCAAGAUUUUCCCUAAGGACCUCAGAGGCUAUCCAAAAGACUUUGCCUAAAGGGAGAGAUUUAAAAAAAAAAAAAAAAAAAAA
rnacentral:lncRNA from 1 species